CCUACGGGUGGCAGCAGUGAGGAAUAUUGGUCAAUGGACGCAAGUCUGAACCAGCCAUGCCGCGUGCAGGAAGACGGUACUAUGAGUCGUAAACCGCUUUUGUACGGGGGCAAAUCCCGAUACGCGUCCCCGGCUGAAUGUACCUUACGAAUAAGCAUCGGCUAACUCCGUGCCAGCAGCCGCGGUAAUACGGAGGAUUCAAGCGUUAUCCGGAUUUAUUGGGUUUAAAGGGUGCGCAGGCGGUUUGUUAAGUUAGGGGUGAAAGCCCGGGGCUCAACUCCGGCACUGCCUUUGAUACGGGCGGGCUAGAGUGGAGGUGCGGUAGGCGGAAUGUGUGGUGUAGCGGUGAAAUGCAUAGAGAUCGUACAGAACACCGAUUGCGAAGGCAGCUUGCCGAACUACGACUGACGUUGAGGCACGAAAGCGUGGGGAGCGAACAGGAUUAGAUACCCGAGUAGUC
rnacentral:rRNA from 1 species